AGAGUUUGAUCCUGGCUCAGGAUGAACGCUGGCGGCGCGCCUAACACAUGCAAGUCGAACGGUUAAAGCCCCUUCGGGGGUGCAUAAAGUGGCGAACGGCUGAGUAACACGUGGGCAACCUGCCCCCCGCUUCGGGAUAGCCUCGGGAAACCGUGGGUAAUACCGGAUACUCCGCCCACCCCGCAUGGGGAGGGCGGGAAAGCGCAUACGGCGGGGGAUGGGCCCGCGGCCUGUUAGCUCGUUGGCGGGGUAACGGCCCACCAAGGCUAUUAUGGGUAGCCGGGUUGAGAGACCGACCGGCCAGAUUGGGACUGAGACACGGCCCAGACUCCUACGGGAGGCAGCAGUGGGGAAUCUUGCACAAUGGGCGAAAGCCUGAUGCAGCGACGCCGCGUGCGGGAUGAAGGCCCUCGGGUUGUAAACCGCUUUCAGCAGGGACGAGGCGCAAGUGACGGUACCUGCAGAAGAAGCCCCGGCUAACUACGUGCCAGCAGCCGCGGUAAUACGUAGGGGGCGAGCGUUAUCCGGAUUCAUUGGGCGUAAAGCGCGCGUAGGCGGCCCGUUAGGUCGGGAGUCAAAUCCGGGGGCUCAACCCCCGUCCGCUCCCGAUACCGGCGGGCUUGAGUCUGGUAGGGGAAGGUGGAAUUCCAAGUGUAGCGGUGGAAUGCGCAGAUAUUUGGAAGAACACCGGUGGCGAAGGCGGGCCUUCUGGGCCACGACUGACGCUGAGGCGCGAAAGCUAGGGGAGCGAACAGGGAUUAGAUACCCCGGUAGUCCUAGCCGUAAACGAUGGGCACUAGUGUGGGGGGGGACGAUCCCCUCCGUGCCGCAGCUAACGCAUUAAGGUGCCUCCCGCCUGGGGGAGUACGGCCGCAAAGGCCUAAACUCA
rnacentral:rRNA from 1 species